GGGCUGUUAGCUCAGUUGGUAGAGCAGCUGACUCUUAAUCAGCGGGUCGAGGGUUCGAAUCCCUCACAGCCCACCA
rnacentral:tRNA from 1 species